ensembl:lncRNA
ACUGUCUACUGUCAGCUUUUCCCAUUCUCUGAACAGGCAUUCUGUCUUUCAGCUGAAUGACUUUAGCUCUCUAGCUAGAGGUUUGGAGCCUGACAGUUUACUAUCUAGCACAGGACAGAUGCAUGUGUCCGAUCUUUGUGCAUCUCUUAACUUAUCUUUUGGUAUAGGACUGACUGAUGGAGUGGUUAUCUCACCUUCAGUGGAGACUGUCAUACAUUUGGCUGGAAAUGCCAGGGUCGCUUCUUGAACCUCAACGGCCUGAAUGGUGGUAGCUAUGGCGUCAGGUGGCAACUCCUCAGAACAUUCUCUCAUCAGUGACUCUGCAUCCAGUGGCAUCCUUGACAAAGCAUCUGCGUCACUGAUCUCUUUACCUGGUCUGUACUUUAUUGUGAAGUGAAAAUCAGCCAGAUCUGCAACAAACCUGGAAGUGUUUGCAUUCAGUUUUGCAGUGGACAGAACAUACGUGAAUGGGUUGUUAUCACUAUACACAAUCCUGGAACUUUGUCAGUGACUGCCCAUUUUAAAGCUAGAAAUUCUCACUUGCCUGCAUGGUAGUGGUAGUUCUUCUCCGCUUGCUCUCAAUGAGUGGGAGCCAUAGGCAAUGACUCUCAGUUUGCCAUCUUGUUUUGGAUACAAUACUGCUCGCAAGCCUUGAUGUGAUGCGUCAGUGUGUACUAUGAACGGCUGAGUGAAAUCAGGGAACCCUAACACUGGUGGAUGGAGCAAACAGUCAAUCAGCUGUUCAAGUGCCUGCUGGUGCUGGUCGGUCCAAGUGAUUGGCUUGUCUGAGGGCACAACAUGAGUCAUUUUCUUUGCUUUUGGUUUUCUUGUGUUUUCAGGGACCUCAGUUGAAUCUGCUUUCAAGAGAUUGUGCUGGCAGCUUGCCUUUCUGGAAAAGUCUUUAAUCUACUGCCUGUAGUAGCAACGAUCAUCUCUGCAAAACGAUGUUUUCCAGCAACGCUUAUCUUGUGGAAUUCGCUUACUCCAGUGCACCUUAUCUCCAGGUUCAACUUGGUUACAUGCCCCCUUAUGUUCAGCCUGUCUGGUUUCACUUUUUUAAAACUGACUUCCACAUACCAUGUCAUUCCUAACUGGAUUUUCAUCUCCGCAACUUUGCACGAGCCAUCUCUAAAAUUAUAGGCGAACGUCAGCUCUUCUUAUCUCCUUUACCGGAGGGGUUGGAUUUGGAUAUGAACACUCGCUAUCAGCUUGCGCAUCUGACUGCUGACAUCACCAUGCUGAUAGAAGUCCUCCGCACCCCGCUUGCUAACUCAAAUUUUCCACCACCCCUUAGAUACAGGAUUCGCCCUGUGACAGUGUGCGUGGACACUGCCACUCAGACUGACCCGCUGCCUGCUGUGCCCCCCUCCAGCUAUCAAACUGACGAUGACAUGGCCUUCUCUGACCCAUGCUCUGAC